CGGAGGAUGCAAGCGUUAUCCGGAUUUAUUGGGUUUAAAGGGUGCGUAGGCGGAUGAAUAAGUCAGUGGUGAAAGCCUGCAGCUUAACUGUAGAAUUGCCAUUGAUACUGUUUAUCUUGAGUACAGCUGAGGUGGGCGGAAUAUGACAUGUAGCGGUGAAAUGCUUAGAUAUGUCAUAGAACACCGAUUGCGAAGGCAGCUCACUAAACUGUCACUGACGCUGAGGCACGAAAGCGUGGGGAGCAAACAGGAUUAGAUACCCUGGUAGUCCACGCCCUAAACUAUGAUCACUCGAUGUUGGCGAUACACUGUCAGCGUCUAAGGGAAACCAUUAAGUGAUCCACCUGGGGAGUACGGUCGCAAGACUG
rnacentral:rRNA from 1 species